AUUGAACGCUGGCGGAAUGCUUUACACAUGCAAGUCGAGCGGCAGCACGGGGGCAACCCUGGUGGCGAGCGGCGAACGGGUGAGUAAUACAUCGGAACAUGCCCAGUCGUGGGGGAUAACACUUCGAAAGAAGUGCUAAUACCGCAUACGUCCUGAGGGAGAAAGCGGGGGAUCUUCGGACCUCGCGCGAUUGGAGUGGCCGAUGUCAGAUUAGCUAGUUGGUGGGGUAAAGGCCUACCAAGGCAACGAUCUGUAGCUGGUCUGAGAGGAUGAUCAGCCACACUGGGACUGAGACACGGCCCAGACUCCUACGGGAGGCAGCAGUGGGGAAUUUUGGACAAUGGGGGCAACCCUGAUCCAGCCAUUCCGCGUGAGUGAAGAAGGCCUUCGGGUUGUAAAGCUCUUUCGGCAGGAACGAAACGGCGAGCUCUAACAUAGCUUGCUAAUGACGGUACCUGAAGAAGAAGCACCGGCUAACUACGUGCCAGCCGCCGCCGUAACAC
rnacentral:rRNA from 1 species